rnacentral:tRNA from 1 species
GGUUUUAUAGUCUAAAUUAAGACGCUAGGCUGCAAUCCUAGAAAUGUGAUAUCACUAAGGCUU